UUCUACAUAUUUUGAAUGGUCUGGAUAAUUUUGUUUCAAAUAUUUUAUUAAUUGUUAUUUUGCUAAAAUUGCAUAUAUGUAUUUUGUUUAAAAGUAUAUGUAUAUUUUUGCGAAGCUGAUUUUGCAUGAAACUCUUUGAAAUCCUUGCUAUGGUUUUUCCUACUGGGAAUUCCCCCGUUUCACCCCCUUCCAGUUUCAGGUACCAAAGAUGAUCUUGGAUUACUAGUUGCGGGCUUAGGUAGACGAGUUGGCGUUGAGGAUUUUAUUUAGAAAAAAUUCGGGGCGUGACAGAAUGGUAUCAGAGCCUGUACCCAGCCGGAAGUGUGAGUUUAGUGAUGAUGUUGUCCGGUGUGUGUGGGCGAGUGUUUAGUAUUGACUAGCUACCACUUGUAGCCGGGUGUGUGUGUCCGGAUGUCAUUCACUGGCAGCUAUUGGGAUGAUUACUAUAGGUGAUUAGGGGCAGGUGUCCCUAGAUCACUAUCGGUUUUAUUUUGUGGACGGGUCACGGCAUUAUUUAGUUACCACAACGGUUACAGAGUGUGUGGACGGGUCACGACAUCGUCUAGUUACCACAACGGUUACAGAGUGUGUGGGCGGGUAACUAGCACUGUCAGCUACCACAAUAUUUUUUCAUGUCAUUGAAUUUCACAUCGCCUGGGGUAAGGAUUUUAGGAUUUUUUUUUACCACUUUUGAUAUUUUCGGGUAUGCGAAGAUUGUUCGAUCUGAAUUUCGGGACGAAAUUCUUCUUAAGUGGUGGAAAAUGUAACCACCCGGAUUUUUAAGUGUUGAAAUUCAAUUUAUUUCAUGAUGUUUAAAUUGUCAUAGUUGAUAAUUUAAUUUUUUUAUUUGAAGACUUACCCAAUUUGAAUAUUUAUUAGGUUUAAAUUAUUGUCACAAGGUAUGCACUUGUAUAUAUAUAUAUUAAGUUUGAUUGAGCAUUUAUUUUAAAUUGGAGAUUUACCAAUUAAAAAUUGGUUAAUUGAUUAUUGAAUUGGAGACUAGAGUUUAAAUUUAAUUUUUAUUUCAUUUCAUGAUUUUAGUUAUCAUGGGAGAUGGCAGCCGAAAAUUGGUAGAAGAAAGAAGAUUGAAUAUUUUAUUUUGAUUGAAUUUACCCACUUUAGAUUUUUAUUGGGAAUAGAAUUGGUUUACAGCUUUUGUAUAUAUAAAUGACCACAUAUAUAUAUAAAUUGUGGCAUCAGUUUGUGAUGAAGGAGCAAGUUGGUUCCAAAAGUGGGUUUGAUUAUAUAUCUAUUUUGGUGAUGAAGGAAGCUUAAUUGAUGGGCUGGCCGAGAUUUAAAAAGCAAAAGGGAAAAUGGAAUUGGUUGUCCGCGGGCCCCACUUGUUAUUUAAAAGAGUUGAGAAUGGUUUGAUUUGGUUAUGAUAUAUAUAUAUAUAUGUAUAUAUCUUGUCUGCCAAAAUGAGGAGCCGAGAUUGGGAUGAGGUGAAAGGGCAGGUGGCGAAAGGUGGAAAAGCCAAUAUGGGUUUUGAUUUUGUGAUAGUGGGCGGGUCCCACUUGAGAGUAUUAAUGGGCUGAAUUUAUUACAUAUAUAUAUGUAUAUAUAUAUAUAGCAAUUGAUGAAAUGAUGCAUAAAGGGAGCAGCCGAGAUUGUGAAAGGAAGAAAGAUGAAUUAUGGUGGCGGGUCCCAUUGAUUGAUAUUUUGGCAUUAUUUAUUUGACUUUGGCUUUUUUUUUCAUGUUCUGAUGUGAGUUUAGAUUGCAUUCUUUGUAUUUGGAAUUUGAUUGUUAAAGUGAUAUAUGAAGUGACAAGGAAAAGUAAGAGAUAAAGGUGGUGGCGGGUCCACUAAAGUUUGUUGUCCCCUAAUUUUAGUUUAUUUGUGAACUGUCGGUACAAUUGUCUAUAUAUAUUGUGCCUUUUGGUGAUGAUAUAGAAGAGAGAAAUAAAGGAAACAUUCACAGAGAGAUCCGAGAGUUUCAGAGGGAGCUGGGAGCAGUGAUGUUGAUGACCAGUGUUGAUUUAUUCAUUUUACAGAUUUCAGGUACCGAGGAUGCUUGAGGAUUUUUAGCUGCGGGCUUAGGUGGAAGAGUUGGUGUUGAGGAAUUAAAUUAUUUUAUUUAGAGAUUUUUAUGUAUUUAUUUAAGGAAAUUGAUUUAGUAUCAAUUUAAUUAAUUUGAGAUCUUGUCUUGUUUGUUUGAGGAAAUUUGAUUGAUUUUGUAUCAAUAAAGGGUAUUUUAUUUCUUCUGA